rnacentral:rRNA from 1 species
AACGAACGCUGGCGGCAUGCCUAACACAUGCAAGUCGAACGAAGCCUUCGGGCUUAGUGGCGCACGGGUGCGUAACGCGUGGGAAUCUGCCCCUUUCUUCGGAAUAACAGUUAGAAAUGACUGCUAAUACCGGAUGAAGUCUUCGGACCAAAGAUUUAUCGGCAAGGGAUGAGCCCGCGUAGGAUUAGGUAGUUGGUGGGGUAAAGGCCUACCAAGCCGACGAUCCUUAGCUGGUCUGAGAGGAUGAUCAGCCACACUGGGACUGAGACACGGCCCAGACUCCUACGGGAGGCAGCAGUGGGGAAUAUUGGAAAAUGGACGCAAGUCUGAUGCAGCAAUGCCGCGUGAGUGAUGAAGGCCUUAGGGUUGUAAAGCUCUUUUACCAGGGAUGAUAAUGACAGUACCUGGAGAAUAAGCUCCGGCUAACUCCGUG